rnacentral:rRNA from 1 species
GCUGGCGGCACGCCUAACACAUGCAAGUCGAACGAAGUAGCAAUACUUAGUGGCAGACGGGUGAGUAACAUGUAGGUAUCUACCCUAUGGUUUGGAAUAACACGAGGAAACUUGUGCUAAUACCAAAUAAGUCUUUACGGAGAAAGCUUUAUGCGCCAUUGGAUGAGCCUGCACUUGAUUAGUUUGUUGGUGGGGUAAUGGCCUACCAAGACAAUGAUCAAUAGCUGAUUUGAGAGGAUGAUCAGCCACAUUGGGACUGAGACACGGCCCAAACUCCUACGGGAGGCAGCAGUGGGGAAUCUUGCACAAUGGGGGAAACCCUGAUGCAGCGAUGCCGCGUGAGUGAAGAAGGCCUUUGGGUUGUAAAGCUCUUUCGUCGGGGAAGAAAAUGACUGUACCCGAAUAAGAAGGUCCGG